CCUACGGGAGGCAGCAGUGGGGAAUUUUGGACAAUGGGGGAAACCCUGAUCCAGCCAUCCCGCGUGUGCGAUGAAGGCCUUCGGGUUGUAAAGCACUUUUGGCAGGAAAGAAACGUCGUGGGUUAAUACCCCGCGAAACUGACGGUACCUGCAGAAUAAGCACCGGCUAACUACGUGCCAGCAGCCGCGGUAAUACGUAGGGUGCAAGCGUUAAUCGGAAUUACUGGGCGUAAAGCGUGCGCAGGCGGUUCGGAAAGAAAGAUGUGAAAUCCCAGAGCUUAACUUUGGAACUGCAUUUUUAACUACCGAGCUAGAGUGUGUCAGAGGGAGGUGGAAUUCCGCGUGUAGCAGUGAAAUGCGUAGAUAUGCGGAGGAACACCGAUGGCGAAGGCAGCCUCCUGGGAUAACACUGACGCUCAUGCACGAAAGCGUGGGGAGCA
rnacentral:rRNA from 1 species